rnacentral:rRNA from 1 species
UACGGGGGGGGCAAGCGUUGUUCGGAAUUACUGGGCGUAAAGGGCUCGUAGGUGGCCAACUAAGUCAGACGUGAAAUCCCUCGGCUUAACCGGGGAACUGCGUCUGAUACUGGAUGGCUUGAGUUUGGGAGAGGGAUGCGGAAUUCCAGGUGUAGCGGUGAAAUGCGUAGAUAUCUGGAGGAACACCGGUGGCGAAGGCGGCAUCCUGGACCAACACUGACACUGAUGAGCGAGAGCCAGGGGAGCAAACGGG